rnacentral:misc_RNA from 1 species
GAUGAAGAACGUAGUGAAAUGCGAUAAGUAAUGUGAAUUGCAGAAUUCAGUGAAUCAUCGAAUCUUUGAACGCUCAUUGCGCCCCUUGGUAUUCCGAGGGGCAUGCCUGUUCGAGCGUCAUUAUAACCCCUCAAGCUCAGCUUGGUAUUGGGGCCUGCCAUCCUGGCAGCCCUUAAAAUCAGUGGCGGUGCCAUCCGGCUCUAAGCGUAGUAACUCUUCUCGCUAUGGAGUCCUGGUGGAUGCUUGCCAUUAAUCUUUUAACUUCUAUGGUUGACCUCGGAUCAGGUAGGGAUACCCGCUGAACUUAAGCAUAUCAAUAAGCGGAGGA